rnacentral:rRNA from 1 species
UACGUAGGUGGCAAGCGUUGUCCGGAUUUACUGGGCGUAAAGAGCGCGCAGGCGGUCGUUCAAGUCGCGUGUGAAAGCCCCCGGCUCAACUGGGGAGGGUCACUCGAUACUGAUCGACUUGAAGGCAGGAGAGGGAAGCGGAAUUCCCGGUGUAGUGGUGAAAUGCGUAGAUAUCGGGAGGAACACCAGUGGCGAAGGCGGCUUCCUGGCCUGUUCUUGACGCUGAGGCGCGAAAGCUAGGGGAGCAAACGGGG